rnacentral:rRNA from 1 species
UGGCUCAGGACGAACGCUGGCGGCGUGCUUAACACAUGCAAGUCGAGCGGUAAGGCCCUUCGGGGUACACGAGCGGCGAACGGGUGAGUAACACGUGGGUGAUCUGCCCUGUACUUCGGGAUAAGCCUGGGAAACUGGGUCUAAUACCGGAUAUGACCUUACAUCGCAUGGUGUUUGGUGGAAAGAUUUAUCGGUACAGGAUGGGCCCGCGGCCUAUCAGCUUGUUGGUGGGGUAAUGGCCUACCAAGGCGACGACGGGUAGCCGGCCUGAGAGGGCGACCGGCCACACUGGGACUGAGACACGGCCCAGACUCCUACGGGAGGCAGCAGUGGGGAAUAUUGCACAAUGGGCGAAAGCCUGAUGCAGCGACGCCGCGUGAGGGAUGACGGCCUUCGGGUUGUAAACCUCUUUCGACAGGGACGAAGCGCAAGUGACGGUACCUGUAGAAGAAGCACCGGCCAACUACGUGCCA